rnacentral:rRNA from 1 species
UACGGAGGGAGCUAGCGUUGUUCGGAAUUACUGGGCGUAAAGCGCACGUAGGCGGCUUUGUAAGUUAGAGGUGAAAGCCCGGAGCUCAACUCCGGAACUGCCUUUAAGACUGCAUCGCUUGAAUCCAGGAGAGGUGAGUGGAAUUCCGAGUGUAGAGGUGAAAUUCGUAGAUAUUCGGAAGAAACACCAGUGGCGAAGGCGGCUCACUGGACUGGUAUUGACGCUGAGGUGGCGAAAAGCGUGGGGAGCAAACAGG